rnacentral:rRNA from 1 species
GACGGAGGCGCGAGCGUUGUCCGGAUUUAUUGGGCGUAAAGAGCUCGUAGGCGGCUUGUCGCGUCGUCCGUGAAAACCUGCAGCUCAACUGCAGGCUUGCGGUCGAUACGGGCAGGCUAGAGUUCGGUAGGGGAGACUGGAAUUCCUGGUGUAGCGGUGAAAUGCGCAGAUAUCAGGAGGAACACCGGUGGCGAAGGCGGGUCGCUGGGACGGUACUGACGCUGGAGACGCGAAAGCGUGGGGAGCGAACAGG